CAAAAGGGUGUUUACCGCUUCGAUGGUACACGCGCCGGCAACGGUGCGUGGGGUAUGGUUAUCAAGACAUACCCAACACAUAAUUUUUGUUUUCGCGAAGCUGUUGGCUACCACUUAUGUACCGGCGCUUCC